UAAGCUAGUAACUCAGUGGUUAAGAGUAUAUAUUUCCGAAAUAUAUGGGCGAGGGUUCAAAUCCCUUCUAGCUUAA
rnacentral:tRNA from 1 species